rnacentral:lncRNA from 1 species
AAAAAACUACAAUUAACGUAAAAUUACUCUCCCCAAACCCCACUUUGUGGGACUAUACUGAGUAGUUGUUGUUGUUGUUUUUAUUGUUCAAGCAGUAAGCAGUGUGUACAAUUUAGUUGAACUCGCAAACAUUAACCUAGAUCCAUCUUUGUGUAUAAUCCUUUCCAAUGGGAAACCUGCAGUCAAUGGCAGAUAUAUGAUCAAAUGCUUCUGGCAAAUAAUUUGGAAUCUGUAUACUACUAGUACAUUUUUAAAUCGCAUAAGACAUUUUAUUUUGAAAAAACUGCCGCCCACAAUCUUAUAUCGGUUGGCACGUGUAAACGGUCAUUUAUGAAGAAUGAUUGUGUUAA